AUAGGAGCCAAGCAAUAAAAGAGUUCGACCUCUAGCUCGGGUCACGUCCUUGGCAAACUUAAUCUCUCCUGUAAGAAAUGGAGCAGUCAGACGUUUUGGUCAAACAAUACAGUCAUUUACCCUUCGUGGUGACCACAGAUCCCCAGCCUCUGCCCAGAAGUCAUUUAGCAGGUCCGCAGCGCCAACACCUGCCAAAAGAAGAAGCAGCGUGCUGUGGUCAGAGAUGCUGGACGUCAGCACGAAGGAGUCUUUGACCACCAGGGAAAUCAAACGUCAGGAGGCAAUAUAUGAAAUGUCCCGAGGUGAGCAGGAUUUAAUUGAAGAUCUCAAGCUUGCAAGAAAGGUC